UUAGGAAUUUUGGGCAAUGGGCGCAAGCCUGACCCAGCAACGCCGCGUGGGUGAUGAAGGCCCUCGGGUCGUAAAGCCCUUUUCCCAGGGAAGAUGGUGACGGUACCUGGGGAAUCAGCCCCGGCUAACUACGUGCCAGCAGCCGCGGUAAUACGUAGGGGGCAAGCGUUGUCCGGAUUUAUUGGGCGUAAAGCGCUCGCAGGCGGCUCGAUGCGUCGUGCGUGAAACACCCCGGCUCAACUGGGGAGGGUCGUGCGAUACGGUCGGGCUGGAGGCCAGUAGGGGGAUGCGGAAUUCCGGGUGUAGUGGUGGAAUGCGUAGAGAUCCGGAGGAACACCAGCGGCGAAGGCGGCAUCCUGGACUGGUACUGACGCUCAUGAGCGAAAGCGUGGGGAGCGAUCC
rnacentral:rRNA from 1 species